UUGGUUCACCAUAUACUAGGCUUUGAAAGUCAUGGGUUUUAUGAAUUGUUUUUGGAUGCAUGUCUACUUUAAAGUGCUGAUAGCUUGCAUGUGUAUUCAAAUGUUCAUACUUGUUCUUAGCUAGGACAAAUGUUUUCCUUCAAGUGGUAUCAGAGCCUAGGCCUAGUGUAUGGUGAAUCCUUUUGGGUUUUGUGAUGUUCAUAUUUUGUGAUUUAAAUGUUGUAAAUGUUACAAGCUUUGUUCUUGCUUUUGAAUAUAUAAAUUUUGCUAGAAAAUUUAGCAUCUCAAAUGUUGUAGAUGUAUUUCAUUUAAGCAUAAAUAUUGGAACUAAAAUUUGGUGCCAUGAGUUUUGGGAAAUUCGGCCAAAUCCUUAGGGUGAUUUUUUGGGUUCAUGUUUGUCUUGUUAAAAUGGUUUUAAGGUGACUUUUGGAACCCCUUAGUACCCUAGGAUAUUAGCCCUCUUUUGAGAGGUGAAAAAUUGAGUUUUGGUGAAUGAAAACAUCCAUGGAACUAUUAUGAGUUUUCAUGGUGUUCUUCAUUGUUCUUGGUGUUCUUGCCAAGAACAUAAAGUUUUGAAGUUUUGAUUCAAAAAUUUUAUGUUUUUCAUAAAGUUUUGGUAUAUAAUUGAUUUAUUAUUUGAUGGGUGAUGUUAUUGGUGAGAUGUGAUGAAAUGUUUUAAUGUUUUGUCAUAAACUUUAAGUUUUUCUUACAAACCAUCACCUUCACCUUUAACCUCACCUAAUAAAAUCAACUUGCAAAAACUUUUUAGAAUUUUUUUCAAUUUUUCAUUAAAUGGCCGGCCACCCCUAGUGGGGGUGCUUUUGGGGCCUUUUGUGCAAUUACAUAAAGUUUUAGAUACUUUUGUGUAUUUGCAUUUUGGCCCAAAAGUUUACGUUUUUACGUUUAGGCUUAAAAACUCUAAAGGACAAAUUGUUUUGAUCCUUUAAUGAUGUUUUUACAUUAUUAAAAUUUUGGGAUCUAGUUGUAUUUACAUGAAGUUGUGGACUAUUGUGUUUAUACAAAGUGACCCCAAAAGUUUUGGUAUUUGCAUUAUGGCCCAAUUGUUGUGGUCAUAGUUUCCUUUUGGCCCAAAUAAAAUGAGAACAAAAUUGUUUUGUCUCUUUAAUGAGAAUUGGAUUUUCAUUUCAUUUAGUUCCACUUAAAUCAAUUCUAUGGAUCCAAAAACCAAUUGUUUAAAGUUGUUUUCUUAGUUAAUGUGAUUGAUUAAGAAAAGGGUGAUUAUGAACCAAAGGCCACGAUAAUUGAGCUAUGUGAUUGGCCGAUAUACAUUUUGAAUGUUUGGGUUUUUUAGUAGUAUAGAUUUGAAUGUAAUUUGAUUAAUUCAAUUUGUUGUAAAUGGACAUAAGUCCAUCAUUUGAUUUGUGUUGUAAA
rnacentral:lncRNA from 1 species